UGGGGAAUUUUGGACAAUGGGCGCAAGCCUAAUCCAGCCAUGCCGCGUGCAGGAUGAAGGCCUUCGGGUUGUAAACUGCUUUUGUACGGAACGAAAAGGUGCCUUCUAAUAAAGGGCGCUCAUGACGGUACCGUAAGAAUAAGCACCGGCUAACUACGUGCCAGCAGCCGCGGUAAUACGUAGGGUGCGAGCGUUAAUCGGAAUUACUGGGCGUAAAGCGUGCGCAGGCGGUUUUGUAAGUAAGAGGUGAAAUCCCCGGGCUCAACCUGGUAACUGCCUUUGUAACUGCAAGGCUGGAGUGCGGCAGAGGGGGAUGGAAUUACGCGUGUAGCAGUGAAAUGCGUAGAUAUUCGGAGGAACACCGAUGGCGAAGGCAAUCCCCUGAGCCUGCACUGACGCUCAUGCACGAAAGCGUGGGGAGCAAACA
rnacentral:rRNA from 1 species